CCUCGGUGGCAGCAGUGGGGAAUAUUGGACAAUGGGCGAAAGCCUGAUCCAGCCAUGCCGCGUGUGUGAAGAAGGCCUUCGGGUUGUAAAGCACUUUCAGUGGGGAAGAAAGCCUUGGGGCUAAUACCCUCGAGGAAGGACAUCACCCACAGAAGAAGCACCGGCUAACUCCGUGCCAGCAGCCGCGGUAAUACGGAGGGUGCGAGCGUUAAUCGGAAUUACUGGGCGUAAAGCGCGCGUAGGCGGUCUGAUAAGCCGGUUGUGAAAGCCCCGGGCUCAACCUGGGAACGGCAUCCGGAACUGUCAGGCUAGAGUGCAGGAGAGGAAGGUAGAAUUCCCGGUGUAGCGGUGAAAUGCGUAGAGAUCGGGAGGAAUACCAGUGGCGAAGGCGGCCUUCUGGACUGACACUGACGCUGAGGUGCGAAAGCGUGGGUAGCAAACAGGAUUAGAUACCCCUGUAGUC
rnacentral:rRNA from 1 species